CCAGUGCACAAUACUCCCUGUCCCACCAUGCUUAGGGGUCACCUGGAGCGUGGCCAAGAAGCUUUUGUACUCUUUCAUCAGAUCACCUUCUAUAACCCUAAACGAGAUCAGGUUCGUCUCCGGAUCCACCUCUUCGAUCCUCUCCUUUGCCACCUUUGCCUCUCCAUCUGCAACAUUUAUUAGUAGUUAAUGUUUAGGUUUUGAGAAUCGACUAGUCAGUGAAACCUAAGAUCGAUAUACACUAGACUCGUCUCUUGUUAGUCACUGCAAAAAUCUUACAAGGCCUCUACAUGCUCCAAAAUUUAAUUUAAGUAAAAUUAUAUAGAAUAAAACGUUAACUUGCCAUGAAAGUAGUUCCAGAAGAUGAUAGAGCCGGGUUUGCCCCAAUCUCCUUCGUGCAAUUCACAGCCCUGAAUGUUGCCUGGAGAUACUUUGGAAACAUGGUGUGGUUUCGCUGUGAACAUGUGAUGAAACUUCUCAGCGGAAGCUUUGAUCUCCACGUAUGCCUCAAGCUUCCCCAAUAAGCUAGACGUCUCUGUUGUCUUCACCUCCUCUUCCGCCGGUUUGCUUGUAGCCUCAACCUUUUUAGUUGGUGCCACCGUCACUGGCGUCUCCUCCUCUUCCUCCAUUUUCUUGGCAAUUUCAGUAGCAGCCUCCGCCAUUCUAUCUCUUGAUGAUUUGGUUAGAAAAUUAGAGGUUUUCUGAGAGUCUGAUAUUCUUUUUAUGAGUGAGUUCUCUUUGGAAUUCUAUACCCCUAUAUAUUGAGGAAUUAGUGGGAAACUAUUGGAGACAAAAAAAAUACACAUUUUUUGUGUGGCCAACGCCAUCAUUCAUUGAGUCUAUGACCAACAAAGGUAACGAAAAGAUAAAGAUGAAUUAUUUCCAUUAAAUGUUUCCACCUACUGUUUUCAAUGCCUGUCUAGGUUUUUCUUUUGUAAAAAUUCACAUAUAUAAAUUAACCAUUACGCAAAGAAAAAACAGUGAAUUAUUUGCGUUGUUUAUAUAUUAAAUUUCCGAUGAGGUAUCUAAUAUAUUACAAAAGAAUAAAGAAUCCCGUGUGUAAGUGUAUUUGAUUUGGAAAUGCGUUUAUAAACACUCCCCCAAGUUCGAAGGAAUCCUAGUACUACUAGCAACAACAACAUUUGCACGUUGGAAAGCAGGGAAUGGGGUUUGUCCACAAUAGGCUACCCUGUAAAGCAGGUUGAACCAGGUUCCUCCAAAUCGGUGCUAAAACCAGGCUCGUUUUUGACAGCCCGAUAAAAGAGCAGGCUCUGAUACCAACUAAUGAAACAGAAUGAUAGAACUAGAGAUCUAAUACUCUAGAAAGCUAGAAUAGUAAUAACAGUUAUUUGUUUAGUGUAAGAAUUCUCGAAUAAAAGUUUCUUAGCGCUUGAGACUAUUUAUAUGUAAACAUAAAAAUUAUAAAACCCUAAUCCUAAUUAAAAUAAAAACUAUUAAAAUAAAAAUAAAAUAAAUAAAUAGUAAAUAUCCUAAUUUUAAGCUGCAUCAACGGCCCAGUUCUAAAAGUCGGUGGGCUGAGUUUUCUCUGUAGGGCUGACUCAUUAAUGGAAUUAGUCAGAAGUCUCCACUGAACAGAAGCUAUGGAAGGGAUUAGGAGACAAGUUACAUUUUAUGGUUUUCUAACUUUGUAAGGACUUGUGUGUAUUUGUGUAUACAUAAGAGUUUUGAUCUUGCCAAGACAUCACAAAACCAGUCCAACAAAAAGACAAUAACCUGGUGAUAAAAAUAAAUAACCAUAACAACAUCAUUUUCAGUGGAAAAUCUCUCAAAAUAUAUGAUUCAUAUGAUAUUAACAUAAUUAUUUUUUUCUUAUAAUUUAUCUACAAACAUAUAUCACAAGCUUUUAUUAAGACUAAACAUAACAUAUCCACACAUGUAGAAUACAACACCUAUAUUAUUAUUGUGAUAUAACAAACCAAAUCACACAUUGGAGAAUUAUACAAAGAGACUAAUAUAUAAAGAGUUGUCCAAUUCUAAUAGUACGAGGUCUUUUGGGAAGGAAACCAAAAAUAAAACCAUGCGGGCUUGCCUAAGGCCCACAGUGGACAAUACCGUACUAAUCGGAUAAUACAGAGUUGGGCAUGGGCUUAAUAAAUCCCAACAAUUGGUAUCAGAGCGGUUGACGAGAAAUUUAAAAGAAGACCAAAAUACCCUUCGAGUAGGAACGAGACCCAUUGAGUUAGGAUUGGGAGGUGUGUGUGACAGAUAUCAAGUCAAAAAGAUCCUGGAAGUCAAUUGUGGGACACGAGUUUAACAAUCAGAUAAUAUAGAGUUGAACAUGAGUUUAACAAUCCCAACAAUUGGUAUCAGAGCCACACACAAACUAACUAAGAAACUGCAACUAUGGACGACAUCAAAGAAGCGAUCAUCAAGAACAAAGACACCGGCCCAGCUGCUGUCAAAUUCCCGAUGUUAUCUUCUUCAAACUAUACUGUCUGGUCCAUGAGAAUGAAGAUAGCACUUAAGGUCUGUGAGGUGUGGGAAACAAUUGAUCCCGGAUAAAAGGAUGAGAAGAAAAACAAUAUGGCUAUAGCGUUCUUAUUUCAAUCCAUACCCGAAGCCUUGAUUCUACAAGUUGGCGACAUUGAUACAUCGAAGGGGGUGUGGGAAGCGAUACGAGCACGCCAUGUGGGAGCUGAGAGAGUCAAAGAAGCCAGAUUGCAAACCCUAAUGGCAGAAUUUGAUAUACCCAAGAUGAAAGAUGAAGACACAAUCGAUCUCUUUGCUGGAAAACUUGCUGAAAUCUCAUCAAAAUCCGCUUCUUUAGGUGAGACAGUUGAAGAACCCAAACUUGUGAAGAAAUUCCUAAAAAGCUUGCCAAGAAAGAAAUACAUUCAUAUGGUUGCCUCUCUUGAGCAAGUCCUUGAUCUUAACAUCACCAGCUUUGAGGAUAUAGUCGGUCGCUUGAAAGCAUAUGAGGAAAGAAUCGCCGAAGAGGAAGAUGAUACACACGACGAUCAAGGAAAAUUGAUGUAUGGUGACACGAGUCAAGAAAGUCAUGGAGGAAGCUAUAGUAGUGGACGAAGUCGUGGCCGAGGUGGUAGAUCUAACUGGAGAGGAAGGGGCCGUGGCCGUAACGGAUCAUCGUUCCAAAGUCAAAAAGAAGCAUUCAAACAACGUCAAAGUGGAGACAUAUCUCACAUCACGUGUUUCAGCUGUGAUAAACAAGGUCACUAUGCGACUGACUGUCCGAACAAGAAACUCAAAUUUCAAGAAACCGUGGAGAGAAAGGACGACGACACUCAAGAUGCUGAUGAGUUGAUGGUACACGAGGUCGUCUAUCUUAAUGAAAAAAAAUAAACCCUGCUAUGUUCGAGGCUAAUCAAGAUACAGAGAAGAUAUGGUAUCUAGAUAAUGGUGCUUCAAAUCAUAUGUGUGGUGAUCGGCUGUUCUUUUACAAGCUUGAUGAAACGGUGACAGGAAAGGUAAGGUUCGGAGAUGAUUCGCGGAUCGACAUAAAAAGAAAAGGUUCUAUUCGGUUUGUGUUUGAUGGAGGUGAGAAGAAGAUAUUAAAUAAUGUGUACUACAUUCCGGGACUUAGGAGCAAUAUAAUUAGCUUGGGACAAGCUACCGAAUUUGGAUGUGAGGUUCGUAUGAAAGACGACACCUUAACAUUGUUUGACAAGCACGGAGACCUCAUGGUUCGGACUGCUCGGACUACAAGUCGACUCUACAAAGUGAUCUUGAACGUUGACCGCAUACAAUGCCUUCAGUUAUCAGCAGCUUCAGAGUCAACCCUGUGGCACGCACGUCUCGGCCAUGUCAACAUCGAGACGUUGAGGCUAAUGGCGAGAAAGGAACUAGUCACUGGCUUACAAGAGACCAUGAUCAAAACUGAAGCAUGCAUAUCUUGCUUACUUGGAAAGCAAGCAAGAAAGCCAUUCCCACAAGCAACAGCGUUUCGAUCUACUAAUCCUCUUGAUCUCAUCCAUGGAGACUUGUGUGGCCCAAUUUCUCCAACCACACCAGCUCAGAAGAGAUACGUGUUGGUGCUCAUAGACGAUAAUACAAGAUAUAUGUGGACCGCGUUGUUGAAAGAAAAGAGCGAAGCAUUCGAAAAGUUUAGAAACUUCAAGAAGCUUGUUGAACAAGAAACGCAGAGUAAGAUCAAGAUGCUUCGAACAGAUAGGGGAGGAGAAUUUACAUCUCAUGAGUUCAAUGCAUUCUGUGACAAGAACGGUAUAAAGCGACACUUAACUGCACCCUACACACCUCAACAGAACGGAGUGGUUGAGCGACGAAACCGUACCCUUAUGGAGAUGACAAGGAGUGUCUUGAAACACAUGAACGUACCAAACGAACUGUGGGGCGAGGCAGUAAGACACUCAACGUACCUGAUCAACCGUGUGGCUACAAGAUCAUUGGAAGGGAAAACACCAUAUGAGAUGUUGCGCUUGAUGAAACUGAACAUCAGUCACCUCAAGGUCUUCGGAUGCAUCUGCUAUGCGAGAACAGAGACGCCAGGAAGGAAAAAUCUCGAUGAUAGAACGAGAAUGCUGGUCCAUUUGGGAACUGAACCAGGGUCAAAAGCCUACAGGUUACUAGACCCAGUUACCAAGAGGAUAAUAGUAAGCCGUGAUGUACACUUUAUCGAAGAUAAAGAGUGGAAUUGGAAAGAAACAGAGCAUCCCAACCCGGGAGAGUUUGUUGUUAAUAUAAAGACAAAGGGUGAUGACGAAGAAGAAGAAGAGGGAGCUGAGAGUGAACCUGGUGUUGAUGAAGAAGAAGACUAUGAAGAGUAUACAGUUGAGGAAGAGAGUAAUCCUCAACUCUUAAGGCGAUCACAACGAGUUAGUACAAGACCGUCUCACUUUGACGAUUAUGUUCUUCUAGCUGAAAUUGAGAGCGAGCGGCUGCUGAUGGUUAUAAAUGAAGAACCGUGGGAUUACGAUGAGGCUAAGAAGCUUAAGGUCUGGAUUGAUGCGUGCAAGGAUGAGAUCUUGUCUAUAGAAAAAAAAAUAAAACGUGGGAUCUCGUCUGUUUACCUGCAGGAGUGAAGCCUAUUGGUCUAAAGUGGGUCUUUAAGGUAAAGUGUAACGCAGAUGGUAGUAUCAAUAAGUUUAAGGCUCGACUCGUGGCAAAGGGAUACAUCCAGAAGCAUGGUGUUGAUUAUGAUGAGGUCUUCGCACCAGUGGCUCGCAUUGAGACAAUACGCUUGAUCAUUGGAUUGGCUGCUUCAAGGAGGUGUGUGUGGCAGAGAUUAAGUCAAAAGAUCCUGGAAGUCAUUUAUGGGACACAAGAUGAAUGUGAUCCUUAGUUUGAAGGGGGAGAAUGUGAUAUAACAAACCAAGUCCCACAUUGGAGAAUUAGACAAAGAGAGUCUAAUAUAUAAAGAGUUGUCCAACUCUAAUAGUACGAGGCCUUUUGGGAAGGAAACCAAAAAUAAAACCAUGCGGGCUUGCCUAAGGCCCAAAGUGGACAAUAUCGUACUAAUCGGAUAAUACAGAGUUGGGCAUGGGCUUAAUAAAUCCCAACAAUUAUAUCACCGAUCUGUUUAGGACACGACUCCUUAUUUAUUGUACUUUUAUAGACUAAAACACACAUAUGCUUCAUUGCACACAUAUAUGGAUAGGGUACUACAACUAAAGAACACUCUUCUCUAGUCCUCAUUCAGGAGAUGUUCAUCUAUCUCUUUGGAAACUUGAACACAGAACUCAAUGAAAGUCUCAGGGUGAGCCACUCUCUCGUCAAUUUUCUCAUACUCAACGUGCCAGUGCACUGUACUCCCAGGUCCUUCCUGUUUAGGAGUCGCCUGGAUGGUGAUGACAAAGCUCUUAUACUCUUUUAAUAAAUCUCCCUCUAUCACCCUAAAAGUGAUCAAAUUUUUCUCCGGCUCCACUGCCUCAAUCCUUUCUUUCGCUACCUUUGCCUCCCCAUCUGCACCAAAUAAAUAUUAAUAUAUGUUUCGGUUUUGACUCUGGGAAUCGUUAAGAAUUUUAGUUCCUGAACAUACUAUAAGAAGGUACAUGUAAUUCAAUCGAAUGAUGGUAGACAAAUGGUGAGUAUUUAACAGUAAUUGUCAUACCAUAUACAUAUGAGUUUUGUUAAGUUUAUAGGUUUCAACUCAUAACCAAUUAGCAAUAAUUGGAUCUGUCUAUUAUUUUCUAACAAGAAUUAAUAAUAUAUAGUAUUGUAUGAUAUAAUCAAUAAAGUGUAACUUCGACUUGCCAUGAACAUAAUUCCAAAAGACGAUAGAACCAACUUUUCCCCAUUCGCCUUCAUGCAGAUCACAACUCCGAAUAUUGCCUGGAGAUGCUUUGGAGACAUGGUGUGGUCUACCAGCAAACAUGUGAUGGAACUUCCCAGCAGAGGCCUUGAUGUCAACAUCAACCUCAAGCUUCCCAACCAAACUUGACACUUCUGUCUUCCUCAUAUUAUGUGCAGCCCCGGCCAUUUUUGUCGCCAUUUUUAUCUCCCGUUGAUAUUUUCUUGAGAACUAGAAGGAUUUUGAGAGAGGAUGAGUUCCUUUUGAGUUCUUUAGCCUUUUUUGUAGAGGAGUGAGUGAGGUAACGGUUUGAGAAAAGACAAAAUGUUUAUUAAUUGCUAUUUUGUAUCCCUUGUGAUCAUGACCCGAUCAUCUUUACCUCACCUACUGAAUUUCUGUAAAUGGAUCAGGAUUAUUUAACGUUGUACAUAAGAAUUAUCGCUCAAUACCACACAGUUGAUCACGUCUACUGUUUUAAAAUUUUCGUUUUGAAGUAUUUCUUAUUGGCAGGUAGUGUUAAUAAUACACACUUUGUAUUCUCGAAAUAAAUAUUUUUCCGAUGAAAAUUUCAUAAAAUUUAUAAAUACUUUGAAAUGAUCCUAAAUAGAACUGUCGUUUGUUAAUGAAGACACGUUUAUUCAUAUGCAAAUGAAAAAAAUAUGUUAUCAACAAUGUUAUCAGAUAGAGAUAUGUUUAAAAUCAAUUUUUAAGUUCGAGUUAUUGGCAUCAAGACAGUAAAAUGCGGAAAUAUCCCCAACACAUACAAACACAUGUAACGUAGUUUUUUUAUCAACAAAAGAGGGAUACAAUGGAACAAUACUUAGGUUCACCCCUGUGGUGAAUGGUUAAAUUCACCAAAGUGUUGAUAACCAAUCAAAAUGCCAUGUAUUAAUAGUUAAAAAAGACAAUAAAAAUAAAAAUAAAAUAGCUGGAAAAAAAACAACACCACCAUUAAUUAACGCCGUCUAAAAACUUAAACUCUAAAACCAUAAAUCAUAAAUCUGAAACACUAAACCAUAUAUAUCAAUCCUAAAAUCUUAACCCUAAAUCUUAAACCUUAAACUCAAACUCUAAACAAUAAACUUUAAAUCCUAAAAUCUAAACCCUAAACCCAAAACUCUAAACCAUAAACACUAAAAUCUAAACCCUAAAUCCUAAACCCUAAACUCAAAUCCUAAACUUUAAACCCAAAACUUCAAAUCCUAAACCCUAAACUCUGAAUCCUAAACCCUAAACUCAAACCUCUAAACCGUAAACCCAUCUGCUAGUUAAUAAGGUUAAGGUUUACGGUUUAGAGGUUUGGGUUUAGGGUUUAUGAUUUAGGGUUUGGGUUUAAAAUUUAAAGUUUUGGGUUUAGGGUUUAGGAUUUAGGGUUUAGGGUUUAGGGUUUGGGUUUAAGAUUUAAAGUUUUGGGUUUAGGGUUUAGAAUUUAAGGUUUAGAUUUUAUGAUUUAGAGUUUAGGGUUUAGAGUUUAGGGUUUAGGCUUUAGGGUUUAAAUUUUAGGAUUUAGGGUUUAUUGUGUAGAGUUUGAGUUUAGGGUUUAAGAUUUAGGGUUUAGAUUUUAGGAUUGGGGUUUAUGGUUUAGUGUUUUAGAUUUAGGGUUUAUGUUUUUAGAGUUUAAGUUUUUAUAAUUUAGAAUUUUGCAGAUGGCGCUAAUUAAUGUCGGUCUUGUUUUUUUUCAGCUAUUUAAUUUUUUAUUUUUAUUACCUUUUUAAGAUAUUCCUACAUGGCAUUUUGGUUAGUUAUAAAGAGUGUGGUGAAUUUAACAUUUCACCAUAGGGGUGAACCUAAGUAUUGUUCGAUACAAUGACGUCGUCAGAUGUUAUUUGUCUAUAAAUGUGAUAUAAUAAUGUAAAGGUAAAAUAGUAAAAAUCUCAUUUUUUUGUCAACAUAUAAAAAAUCUAAUUUAUCACUAUAAUUUCACUAUUUUCGUAGUUUUUUUUUAUGAUUAGACGUUUGCAAGAACAUCUUUGUUUCAAGUAUUUCAUUUUAAUUUUCUUAAAGUGGAAAAUAAAAAAAAACUAUUGUGUGGAUCUCUCAAAGUACUAGGAAAAAAUGAGGAACUUUUGUGUGCUGUUCAAGUAUUCGAGGGAUCCACAUAUAUUUUUUGAACUAGACAAAACUACAAUCUUAUAGUAUAUCAACAUGUAUAAUUAAUCUAUAAGCUUCAUUUGUUAUUCCUCGGUUGCAGUCCCUUUCUACUUCAACAAAUCACGAAGCAGAAUGCUUAAUUUAUUUAUUAAACAUAUAUGAUUUUAUUAUAAACAAUCAGUUCAUACAUUAAUUUUGAGUAGCUUCAUAGCUGAUGCUGCUACACUUAGCUUCUCAAACAUAACAACUUCCAAACACUCAUGACACACAUAUCUCUUGACAAACUCGGACAAGGCGGCUCCUGAGUCCUUAUUCAUUUCAAAUUCAGAGACUGAACUUUAAGGCAAACACACCAAUAGAAGUAUGGAUAUGAUUGAAACAAGAGAAUUCUUCCUCUAUUCUUCGGACAUGAGAUGUGCAUCGAUCUCUUUGGAGACCUCUACGGCAAACUGGAGGAGAGUCUCAGGGUGAGCCACCUCCUCAUUAAUUUUCUCGUACUCAAAGUGCCAAUGUAAAAUGCUUCCAGGUUCUCCUUCCUUAGGGGUCACUUGAAAGGUGACCACGAAACUCUUGUACUCGUUCAUUAAAUCACCCUCUAACACCCUGUAUGUGGCCCGAUUGUUCUCCGGGUCUAUUGACUCGAUCCUCUCUUUCAUUACUUUUGCCUCCCCAUCUGACCAUAUAUAACACAUUGACACAUAAUUAUCGGUUUGAGAUUGUUAGAAAUCUUAUAUCUAAACAAGACCAGACAUAAUAUAAUGUGUAAAAUAAUAUAUAUGAAUGGAUCAAUCCACCCGUUUCAAAUUGGUUUCCUUCAAAAGUGGAUAUAUUUUAAUAUGGAUCCGCUAUGAAUGUAUUCACAUAUAUAACUAGAUAAUUAUAACGCUGACUUGCCAUGAAAGUAAUUCCAGGUCACGAUAGAACCAACUUGGCCUAUCUCGCCUUCAUGCAGCUCACAGCUCUGAAUGAAGGAUGGAGAUGCAUCGGGCAUAUGGUGCUUUUUCCCGACAAGCAUGUCAUGCAACUUCUCCGGCGUAGAUUUUACCUCCACGGUUGUCUCAAUGAUCCCGACCAAACUUGAUGCUUCUUCUGCCAUUCUUGAUCUUUCGAUAAUUUGCAAAUGUGUCUUUAGGGUUUUGCGUUUUGAGAAUGAAUGUGUUCCCUUCUAAGCUCUUCACACCCCCUUUAAAUAGAAGAACGAAUGAAGCGAGAAAUACACUGGAAUUUAUUUUAUACUUUAUAAUUUUGAUUGGUUCUUUCUUCUCUUUGAUCACGUUAACCCAUCUGGCGCUAAUUGAUAAGACUGGAUUAUAAGAUAAUUUAUAAAAAAAAACUGUAAACGGUAAAGCUAUAUAAAAUACAUUCGUAGCUCGUGUCAUACAUAAUAUUUUGAAUAAGUAUUAUUAGUGGGAAAGCAGUCAGUUUCGUGAGUCUUAAGAAAAUAAGAUAAAACGAUGUGGGUUUAGGGUUUCAUAAAUCAUUAACAAUAUUGGUUAACCAAGGGAUUACGUAGUGCAACCAUCGGUUUGCAUCUACGAUAUACACUGUUUGUGUCAAUUUAAUUUAGACAUAAAUCAUAAUUCGGAGUACUUUGAAGAGGACCUACGAAUGGUAUAGCGUGGAUGUGACUGAAACUAUACUUAAAAAAAAAAGAAAUCAUUCAAGUUAUUCGAUGACUCAGUUCAUUUCAGUUUUAAAUUGAUAAAUUUCUUGAAAAGUUCUUACUCCGAAAAUAUAAAGAAUUUUUUUGUCCAUAAAGAAUUCAUAUAUCUGGAUAAUCCCUAAAUGAUCUUCCUUCUGUCAAUCCUACAAGAUCAUAUCUUUUGUAAAGGGGUACACGUUAUUACAUAAUUUCAAAAGAUAAAUAAGCAUUAUUAUAAAUUGAGAAAGAUUGUUUAUCCCGCAGCUGUAUCUCUUGAAAAGGAACAGAAACCAUUUUUUGGGUCAAAAUUCAGAAUUUAAAAUAUCUUCCAUUCUGUCUAUAGUAAGGUCCAAAUUUUGUUUUUAAUAUGUUUGUUCACUAACCAAUAGGUCAUAGCUGUUUUGACUUUUGAUCAAAUAUAUACAUCAAUCGUCAUUAUUGUAAUUAUAAAAUUAUAUAUGUUUGGUAUGACAUAAAAUAAUGUCUACUAGGCAACGUGUGGACAGUUUGAAAAAGUUUGAUAAAGUCACAAUCGGAUAUUGAUUUUAGUUAAUCAAUUUUGUAAAGUCUAUGGAGAAUUUGAUACUAAUCAAAGCACAAUAUAUUUUUUGUUCAUUUUGAUUAAGCCUAAUUUUGAUGGAUCAUGUUUUAGUUUAUAUGAGGCUACUAGAGAUUUUAUGCUCAGGUAUAGAAACUUCAAAACAUCAAUUAUAGAGUCACUUAGAUAUGAUGUGCGUUGUAUGAGGCUAUACCAUAGGAAUUGAUUAUGAAUAAUUUGAGAUGUACAAAUUUAACUAUAUGAUGUAUUUUUUGUGUAUGUAUCACAUGAGAAAACUUAUGUUAGUUAUAGAAUAUGCGGUACUGGAUAUGGAGUAGAGGAUAAAUGAAUGACUGUAUUAUUUUAUGCAUCAUUGAAAAAGUUGUUGCACUAAAAACAUCCAAGGAUUCAGAUAAGUACAUGUGAUUAAAAAGUUGCUUGGCUAAUUAACCACAUGAUUUUGAUAAGAACAUCUUCAUCUCAUGUUACUCUCUGACCAUCUCAAAGUUAAACAAAUACAUUUCUUAACCAAAUCAUUUCUUACGUCAAACCAAUCAAAGUUAGCUAGUUUAGCAUUAUUAAUGUUAUUGUUCAUAAAUUAUCAGGACGAUCCAUCAAAAACCAUAAUUCACACAUGGCUUACAUAGAACCAACCGUUAUAAACAAAGCAAUAACAAUAAUUAUGCUAUACUAGUUAACUUUGAUCAAUGGCACCGGCUUCGUCAAUGGUUUGAACGAUAACAGUUUGAGCAUUCCUCUAAAUUUAUCCUCACUUAUAAGCAUGACUGAUUUUAGUUUUUCAAAUAUACUACAUAAUCCAUAAAAGAAACUCCUUCCUACAUCCUCAAGUAAAUCUAAUAUGUUAAUUAAUUAGACUACACAAACAACAAUCUGAUAGUAUAUAUUUAUUCUAUAGGCUUUAUAUCCUUCAUAAAAAAGUUAUGUUAAUAAAAUAUAACGGUGGGUGCUAUGUUACAUAGGGUUUUGUUUGUUAACUUAUACUCUCAGUUAAUUGUACCUUACAAUUGUAAGGUACAACGUAAAGAAUAAGGUAUCUUUCUUUCUAUUCCCGUUCUUCCCGUUUAACUUUCAUCACGACUCAGUUGUUAUUCCUCGGUCGCAGUCCCUUCUUAUCUUCAUCAAAUCACGAAGCAUAAUGCUUAAUUUAUUAAUUAAACAUAUAUGCUUUAACAAACAUUUCAUACAUCAAUUUCGAGUAGCUUCACAGCUAAUGCUGCUACAUUUUGCUUCUCCAAAGUAACAACUUCCAAACACUCAUGAGUCAUGACACACAAAUAGAAGUAUGGAUAAUGGGCUCCUCAGUCCUUAUUUAUAGCACUUUCAAAGACUGAAAUUUAAGGCAAAAACACACGAAUAGAAGUAUGGAUAUGUAGGAUUGAAACAAGAGAAAUCUUCCUCUAUUCUUCGGAACAGAGAUGUGCAUCGAGCUCUUUGGAGACCUCGACGGCAAACUGGAGGAGAGUCUCAGGGUGAGCCACCUCCUCAUUAAUUUUCUCGUACUCAAAGUGCCAAUGUACAACACUUCCAGGUUCUCCUUCCUUAGGGGUCACUUGUAAGGUGAUCACGAAACUUUUGUACUCGUUCAUUACAUCACCCUCUAACACCCUGUACGUGACACUAUUGUUCUCCGGGUCUAUUGACUCGAUCCUCUCUUUCAUUACUCUUGCCUCCCCAUCUGACCACAUAUUUAUAGGUUUGAGAUUGUUAGAAAUCUUGCAUUUGAAUAAGAUCAUAUAUGUAUAUAUAUGGAUCAAUCCAGCCGUUUCAAAUUGGUUUUGAUUCAAAAGUUAGUAUAUUUUAAUAUAGAUUCGCUAUGCAUGUAUUCAUAUAACUAGAGAAUUAUAGCGUUGACUUGCCAUGAAAGUAAUUCCAGGUUACGACAGAACCAACUUGGCCCAUUUCGCCUUCAUGCAGCUCACAGCCAUGAACGAAGGAUGGAGAUGCACUGGGAAUAUGGUGCUUUUUCCCGACAAACAUGUCAUGCAACUUCUCCGGUGAAGAUUUUAUCUCCACGGUGGUCUCAAUGAUCCCAACCAAACUAGAUGCUUCUUCCGCCAUUCUUGAUCUCCCGAUAAUUUUCAAAUGUCUCUUAAAGUUUUGAGUUUUGAGGAUGAAUGUGGAUCCCUUCUUAGCUCUUGACCUCCGUUUAAAUAGAAGAAUGAAUGAAGCGAGAAAUAGACUGGAAGUUAUUUUAUCAGUAAUAAUUUUGAUUAGUUAUUUUUUUCUCUUGAUCACGUUAACCCAUCUGGCGCUAAUUGAUAAGGCUAAAUUAUUAUAUACUAAUUAAUAUAAAAAAUGUAAACGCUAAUAUAUAAAAUAUCAUUCGUAACUCGUGUCACAAAAAGAAAGAAUGAUUAGUAGAAUUAGUGGGGGAGCAGUCAGUUCGCGAGCCUAAAAGAAAUAAGAUAAAAUGAUGUGGGUUUAGGGUUUCAUAAAUCAUGAACCAUAUUGGUUAACUUAAGAUAAAUGAAAUUAUUCAAAUUUUUCGAUGACACGAUUCUAUUCAGUUUUUUAAUUGAUAAAUUUCUUGAAAAGUUCUUACUCCGAAAAUAAUAAGUAUUUAUAUUUCUGGAUAAUCUCUAAACGAUCAUCCUUCUGACAAAUCCUAUAAGAUAUAUUCCGUAAAUGGAUUACACGUUGUUAUUUCAUUAUUUUAAAAGAUAAAUAAGUUUUAUAGGUUGAAAAAGAUGUUGUUUAUCCGGGAGCUGUAUCUCUUGAAGUGGAACGGAAACGGAAGUUCAGAAUUUAAAACAUCUCCCCAUUCUGAUUUAAGGUCCGGAAUUUAUUUUCAUGUGUUUGUUCACUAACCAACAGGUCACAGUUUGACUUUUGAUCAAAUAAACAUACUUAUCAAACUUCAUUAUUAUAAUAAUAUCUCCUUUCAGUAUAUGAUAAAAGAUAAUGUCUACCAUGCCCCGUGUAGACAAAGUUUUGAAAAAUUAUUUGGUAAAGUCACCAUGGAUAUUGAUUUUAGUACUAUAUAUAAAUUGUGUAAAGUCUAGGGAGAAUUGGUAUUAAUCAAAUCGAAAAAUUAUUUUUGUUGAUUUUGAUGGCUCAUGUUCUAGUUUAUCUGUGGUUACUAGAGAUUUUAUUUAUUCCAUGGAGCUUAGGUAUGAUAUGAAGGUUGCAUUAGAAGCUAGUCUCAGAGGAACAAAAGUGAAGGCUCGCCUCGUGAAACUUGUGAAAGUCAAUUGAUGCAAGAGUCUUGUUUCACUUCUCCAAUAGUGUAGAUGCGUCUUUCCUCGAUCUCACCACAAUAGGUGAGGUCGAGAAGCGUCUACCCUUGUCUGAAACAGAGGUACAAUCUAUUUCUUCUCUGCACCGAAGAGAAAGCAAUGACACAUGUCUGAGUACAUACACUGAUACACAUAACACAACUCCCUUAAACCAUGAAAGCACAUUAUCAUAAACACACACUUCAACUUAUAUAAAACAUAGCUUCUCUGACCUCAUGGCCGAGUAGAGGUAAGAAAUUUUCCUUAGCUUUAGUUCGUGAGAUAUGUUCUGUCCUGAGCAUAUGAACUCCAAAGAACACAGCGCUUUAAAAAUUCAACAAAUCACCGAUCUGAAAAGGAUGAUGUAAAGAUAGUAAACAAACAAACGUAGCUAGUCAAAGAUCUAAAGAACACCUACACAUGGAGAAGAGCCACUAAAUUCCACAAUAAUCUGAAAAGUUUCCGUGUCAAAGCCUCUCAUACUAGUAAAAGUUUUCAUCUUCGAAUCAAAACUCAAGCUCAGACUCACAGUGAAGAUGGAUAUAAAGGAUGCACGACCAGCAUCAGAAGUUAGAAGACCAAGUGCUUGCAUCAGAUAACCUAAGCUAACCCAAAAACCUAACUCAAUCCCUGAGUUACGCGUUUCAGCAUCACUCAACGACCUUACAACAAAAGGUGUAAACGGAAUCGCAGCCACCAGGAAUCUCACAACACUCAUCAAAAGCUGCAGGAUCCAUGAUCCCUUCAACUUCUUUAACGACAGCGAUAUUACUACCAGCUUAUAAAACUUGUCUCUAUUCUAGUAAACACACUUUCCAUAGACGAUAGUAAUGGCAUUGAGCAAAAUGAUGCUCCUAAGUUUCGUUGAAGAAGACAAGAUCUUCCUCCACAGAGGUUCUGAGGGGUAAUCUCGUUUGAUGGAGGGUAGGGAUUUCAAGCUUGAAAUUCUUAAUAGGACUUAUGAUGACAUCAAUGCAAAUAGAUAACUUCAACUUUUCUCCUUAAUUAUAAUGAUAACUCUGCCCCUUUUUAACCUCUUCUUGUUUAGAAUAUGUCCCUUUAUUAUUAGUAUUAUCAAACGUACAACAAAUACUAGCAAACAUAAACUUGAAGUAGUCUUGCAGGAAGCUUUACUUCUUUUACACAUCGAUUUAAAUUAAAAACUUCAAACAUAACUCGGCCGUAAUAUUAUUCAUACACAGACGAGUCGACACACACCAAGUCACCAACAUAUACCUCUUACCCAGACUCGGACACAGCUCAUUAUUUAUUGAAAGCUUUGAAGGCACAAAGAUGCUCGGACACAGCUCAUUAUUUAUUGAAAGCUUUGAAGGCACGAAGAUGCACAAACUUAACAAACACACGAAGAGUAAUCCUCUAUUAUUCUGUCAAGAGAUAUUCAUCGAUAUCUUUUGACACUUCAACACUUAACUGGAGGUGACUUUCAGGGUGACCAACUUCUUCGCUGACUUUCUCGUACUCAAGGUCCCAGUGCACAAUACCACCAGGCCCUCCAUGCUUAGGGGUCACCUGGAUCGUGCUCACAAAACUCUUGUACAUUUUCAACAGAUCACUUUUAAUAACCCUGAACGUGAUCAGGUUCUUCUCCCGCUCCACCUCCUCGACCCUAUCCUUACACACUGUUGCCACUCCAUCUGCAUCAAUUGUUUAACUUUUUAUUUAUAUAGGUUGUUAGGGCAUUUACGAAUCAACGUAAUGUUAUUUUUAUAAGCAUAAGACUCUCAUCGACUUGUCAAUCAAAAUUUAGUAGAGUUUAUUGGUUGUUGUAUUUUAAUGGAUUUGAAAAUCCGAACUAAAUCUAGUGUUAUUGGUUCUAUGAUUUUAAAAUCUGUAUUAAAAUCAUGUGUUAUUGGUUUAAUGAUUCAUAAAUUCUAUAUCAAAUCAAGUGUUAUUCAAUCCUACGGAUUUACUAAUAUAUUUGAUUUUAUAAUGGAUUUGAAUGGAUUUGUUUGGAUUUUUUAGUUAAAAAUACAAAGACUCAAAUCCGAAGGAAAACUUCCGGAUUUACAUAUUUUACUUGGAUUUAUAAAUAUUAUAUGGAUUUCUAAAUCAAUCAAAAUGUAUAAACCAAUAACACCUCCUAAUCUCUGUUUCGGUUCUAAGCAUUUUUGUUACUAUUAGAUUCACAUUGCAAUUGUACAUUUACAAAAAAAAAUAGUUUAGACUUCGGUUUAGAAUCUAAUAGUUUUAAUAAAAUAAUAUACAUAUACAUAUACAAUGACUUGCCAAUAACGUAGCUCCAGAUGACCACUGAACCGACUUUUCCCCAGUCGCCUUCCUGUAGCUCACAGUUCUGGAUCUUGUCUGGAGUUGCUUUGGGCAGAUCGUGUACUCUUCCUGCCCACAUGUGAUAGGAACUUUUCAGCAGAAGAUUUUAUCUCGACAUCUGCCUCAAGCUUUCCCACCAAAUUAGCCGCUUCUGCCAUGAUUUUUGCUUACUAAAAUAAAAAGUUAGGACUUUUGGAAAGGAGUGAGUUAUAUUCAUGUUUUAUUUAGCCUCUAUAUGUAGAGCAAGAGUGAGCAACUGUCAAAGAAUAAAAAUUUUUUUUAUAGCACACUACUAAAACAUGUUUUUAUUUUUAAAAUAACAUAUACGAAGAAAAAUAGCACUAAGGUUAGUAGUUAGGAUUUAGGGUAUAUAAUUUAAAGUUUAAAGAAUAUAAUUUAAAAUAAUAUUAUCUAUUUUAUUUUUAAAUAAUUAUUUUGUAAAUACUUUAUAAGGUAAAUCUUCAAAAUAUAAUAUUUUUAUUUUGGGUAACUCUUUCAAAUAGAUAUUUUUAAGUUUCUAUCACAAAAAUAAUUUUAAUGAGAAAAAUGACUAAAAUAAAUUUCAUUAUUGAGGCAAGAGACAUUUAUACAGAUAUAUAAAUACAAAUAAAUAAUAAAAUAAAUAAUAAUAAAUAAAUAAAACUUUUAGUUUUAAAUUAUAUGUUUUCAAAUUCAAACUUAUUUAUAAACAAAUAAAAAUUUUAUUUUUUUCAAAUUAUUUUGUUUAAUUCGAAAAUACUUUUUGAAACUGUUUUUAAAAUUUUUAAUUUUAAUUUUUAAAAAUUUAAACGUUACUCCUAGAACUUCACCCUUAACUCUAAACUAUAAGUAUAUAUUAAUUAAUUUUAGGAGUAUAAAUGUAUAUUUACUUUUUAAUUAAAUAUUUUGGUCAUUUUAAUCUUUAAAAAUUAUAUUUGUGACAAAAAAAAACUUUUUUAGGAUUAUCAUAGAAAAUUUCUCUUUUAUUUUUCGUGUGGCCUUCCUAUAACUCGCAAUUUUGGACAGAGUCAGAUCGCUGAACAUGCUUUUGAAACAUUCCAAUGAAGCUUCCACAUGAUGGGAUCUCUUACAAAAAUUAUUUGUAUAUACAUAUGUGUAUUAUUACAUAGUAUUAAAUAUAUAUAAAUAGUCUAUAUAAUAAUAAAAUCGUUAAUAUAUUUCAUGUUAUACAAUAUGAAUAAGUUUAAUAAUAGAAUUAAUAUAAAUAUAUACUUUUAUUUUAGUGAAACUUAAUUUGAUUUUAAGUAAUAAUUUGUUUUACUAAAACGAGCAAAAAUAUGUGUAAUUUUAAAUAAAAUAAAAUAAAUAUUUUUAUUUUAAAUAAGACUUUCAAAAUUUGGACCGCCUCUAAUGGCAUCUCCAACGAUAUUCUAUUUGUUACUCUAAAAUGAAAGAAAAUAGAGUACGGAGUAAGAAAUGCUCCAAUCCAACUUCAUAUCUCAUUCUAUAAUAUAGUUUACUCCAUAAAUAGAAUAAUUUAUUUUUUAUUUGUUCAAUACUCUAUCAUAGAAUGAGAUAUGAAGUUUGGUUGGAGAGAUUUUACUUCCUUUUUUAUUCUAGUUUAAAAGAAAAAAAUGAAAUUUUAAAGUAGCAAACAUAAACAUAAUUUUUAAAAAAAAUUGAUAUUCAUCAUAUUUUUAGGUUAUUAUACCAAAUGUCCCUUUAUUAUUAACAAACGUACAUCAAAUACUAGCAAACAUAAACUUAAAGUAGUCUUGUAGGCAGCUUUAAUUGCUCUUAUUACACGUCGAUUCCAACUAAGAAACUUCAAACAUAACUCUGGCGUAGUAUUAUACAUACACGCGUGAGUUGACACUUGACACACACCACACCAUACACCUCGUACCCAAAGUCGGACAUUGCACAUUAUUCAUUGCAACUAUAACGACUUAAAGACUCACACAACACACACAAAGAGUAACCGUCUACUCUUCUGCCAAAAGAUAUUCAUCGAUAUCUUUUGAUAUUUCAACAGCAAGCUGGAGGAUAGUUUCAGGGUGACCAGCGUCUACGAUUAUUUUCUCGUACUCCAUGUGCCAUUUCACAACACUACCAGGCUCUCCAUGUUUAGGGAUCACUUGGAUUGUGGACACAAAACUCUUGAAAUCUUUCAUCAUAUCACCUUCUAUAACCCUGAACUUGAUCAGGUUCUUCUCCGGAUCCACUGCCUCGACCCUCUUCUUAGUCAUUGCUGCCUCUCCAUCUGCACCAAUUGUUAAACUUUUGCUUAUAUAGGUUGGGCUCCACAUCUGCCUCAAGCUUUCCCACCAAACUAGUCGCUUCCGCCAUGAUUUUUGCUUACUUUAGGAAAAUGUUAGGAUUUUUGGAGAGAAGUGAGUUAUCUUUUGAUUUCUUUAGCCUCUAUAUGUAGAGGAAUGAGUGAGCAAGUGUCGAAAAAUUGAACGAUAUUUUAUUCAUCAAAUAUAGGUUUUGAUUGGUAACAUG
rnacentral:lncRNA from 1 species